rnacentral:rRNA from 1 species
UACGUAGGGACCAAGCGUUGUUCGGAUUUACUGGGCGUAAAGGGCGCGUAGGCGGCGUGACAAGUCACUUGUGAAAUCUCCGGGCUUAACUCGGAACGGCCAAGUGAUACUGUCGUGCUAGAGUGCAGAAGGGCAAUCGGAAUUCUUGGUGUAGCGGUGAAAUGCGUAGAUAUCAAGAGGAACACCUGAGGUGAAGACGGGUUGCUGGGCUGACACUGACGCUGAAGCGCGAAAGCUAGGGGGAGCAAACGGG